rnacentral:lncRNA from 1 species
AAUCAUAGCCUUUCUACAACAUGCCUAAACUCUGAGUGGUUUGAAUUUAUUUCUCAAGAUCCAGGAAUAGGCUUCGCAUUAGCAACAUGAAGCCUGAGUCUAUGAACACUUGAAACAAGAUGGAUUCAAUUCAGUAAAACUACCAUAGCCUAUUUUUUCCAAAACAACUGACUUUUGCUCUCUUGCUCGCUCUCUGUCUUUUUUGGUCUCUGUCAGUUUCUCUUUCCUUGUGUCUUUCAUUUUCUUUAAAAGAUGUGUGCUGUAAUUAAUUUAAUGCAUUUGAUAUAUUUCACCCGGGCAUUUGGUUAACAUGUUGCGUACCACUCUGUUCCACUUUCUUGUUUUCAGCCCGUGGCAGUUUGAAAGGCAGAUGCAAUGUUCUCUGCUCUGCGAUCCCUGCUGUCAAGAGUCUGCUGUGGCAUUUUGAUGAGUGAAAAAGAGAAGAUGCUAUUUUGCUGCACUUAUUCACAUACACCAUGCAUCGCCAGGUUUCAGCAUUGGAAAACUGUAGGCUCUUCCUCAAACCCACUACAGCAUAAUCCCCUGAUAGGCGUGGAACAGAGCUAAAAAUUUGUCAAUCUGAAAGGUAUGUUUUUAAAAAAUCAUGUACAUUCAAUGAAAUUAAAAUUUCCUAUAUAGAAAGAGAUUUGGUCUUUAUUUUCUUUUUCAAAAUAUAAAUAAAAUUCCGUUGGGUCCGAGUUCCUGCCUCA